rnacentral:rRNA from 1 species
AUGAAACGGCGCAGCCACCAGCAGCCAAGGCGCUGGCCCUGGGAAGGGGUCGCGGCGUGCAAGGGCGUGAUGGAUACACUGGUUAUAGCAGAGAUGGUCAGAACUACAACCGAUACGGUUAGUGGGGAGAUGACGGAUAUGAUGCUUAUGGUGAGGGACUGCACCGUGGAUCUUCAUCCGGUGGCGGCCGUGGUUAACCGAUACAAUACUGAGGACACUGGACAUUUUCAAGGUCCACCCGGUAAUUUUGUUGAAGGUGUCGCCGGACCCAGGGAUCGAUUCCGAGGUGGCUAUCGUCGCGGUGGGAGAGGGAGACGACCACCACCGCCUCGACACUAUCCACCGCCACCACCGCCUGCUACGGAUAUGGCCUCGGAGGAGGAGCUCGAGCAUACAGCUGAUGGGGUGGGAGACCCAUCCACGUUACCCGCGGCGGUAGUGGACGCGGUUCGGGCUCUGGCAGCAGUGCAUGUUCCGGUGACUACUGGAGGUGCUAAGUCUAGGGAUGGUGCGUCUGAUAAAGGACCGGAGAAAGCGGAGGGCGAAAAGCUCUCUAAGUGGGCAAUUAAGAAGAAAAAGUUGCCCUGCUAUAGAUGUGGUGAACCGGGUCAUUUCGUGGCAGAGUGUACGAAUGAGCUUUGUGAUUAUUGCCUUCGCUCCCAGCAUGUGACCGGGGAAUGCCCUCUCCUUUCCGAUCCUAAGCCUGGCAUUAACAUUUAUGGGGUCUGCUGUAAGGAGUUGAUUGGACAGUUGACCGAGGCUCAAAUCGUCAGACAACUACGUGAGUUAGUGCCGGGUAAUUAUCAGUGGCACCUGGAGCAGUUAGAAGGUUGGUCUUAUAAGGUUGACUUUCCCACCAAAGAGGAUCAGAUGCAUUUUCUUAAGUGGGGUUUAUGCAGAGUUACGAGCACAAACAUUGUUAUCGCUUUCGACGAGUGGAAGCAGGAGGAACCUGAGGAUACACCUUUGGAGAAGGUGUGGAUUCGUUUCUAUGGCGUGCCACCUAAAUAUGUAAAACACUUUCUGAUUGCUUGGAGUUUGGGUGGCUUGAUUGGUAAGACAGAAAAGGUUGACAUGCCAUUCACUCACGCACAAAACGCUGCGAGGCUAUUGGUCAGUGUUGUGAGUGUUGAGCAUAUACCAGAUGUAGUCAGAUGGACACAUGUUGGAGUCACUUAUGUCUUAGAGCUUGAGAUCGAGGAUACUGCAGUUUCCGAGGAUGGGGAUGGGACACAAGACCUGGAUACGACCGAGGGUGGCGGCGCACCUGGGAACCAGGAGAAGGGGGUCGAUGAUACACUGCCGGAGUCGGACAAGGGGCCUGCUACACAGCCAGAUAAGGUAGCCAGUUCUACCAAAGAGGCGCCCCCGUCCACUACUUCGAUGAACACGCUUCACUUUGGUUCAUUUGCACCGGGGUCUGCUCCUAGCCGGUUAUGGAGCACCAGGGUCGAGGCAGACGACCCGACAGAGCUUGAGUUGCCACCGGUGCCGAGUCUAGUCGGUGAUGUGACGAUCGCGGAGCCUACUCCCGGUGCGAGGGUGGUUUCUGUUGGGGUGGCCGCGGGUUUGGGGGGUCGUGGGCAGGAUGCCCAUCACACCCAGAUACCAGAGCCCGACUUUUCGUCGGCGGGAGGGGCGCCUAGACAGGAGGUCUAUGGCGUUCUUCCUACUUCAACGUCUCCGGUCGAGUUGGGGGGAGGUGCGGGAAGGAGUCCCGUUCUAUAA